AUGGGGCGCCCCACGCACCUAUGGGGCGCCCCACAUCCCAAUGGGGCACCCCAAAUCCCAGUGGGGUGCUCUAUAUUGUUAUGGGGCGCCCCACAUCCUUAUGGGGCACCUUAUAUCCUUAUGGGGCGCCCCACAUCCUCCUGGGGCGCCCUAUAUCCCCUAUGGGGUGCCAAUAUCCUUAUGGGGUGCCCCACGCAUCUAUGGGGCGCCCCUCAUCCCCAUGGCGUGCUCUAUAUUCUUAUGGGGCACCCUAUAUCCCUAUGGGGCGCCCCACACAUCUAUGGGGCACACCACGUCCAUAUGGGGCGCCCUACAUGCCCUAUGGGGUGCCAAUAUCCUUAUGGGGCGCCCCACACAUCUAUGGGGCACACCACGUCCAUAUGGGGCGCCCUAUAUCCCCUAUGGGGUGCCGAUAUCCUUAUGGGGUGCCCCACGCAUCUAUGGGGCGCCCCACAUCCCAAUGGGGCACCCCAAAUCACAAUGGCGUCCUUUAUAUUCUUAUGGGGCAACCUAUAUCCCUAUGGGGCGCCCCAUAUAUCUAUGGGGCACCCCACAUCCCUAUGGGGCGCCCUAUAUCCCCUAUGGGGUGCCGAUAUCCUUAUGGGGUGCCCCACGCAUCUAUGGGGCGCCCCACAUCCCAAUGGGGCACCCCAAAUCACAAUGGCGUCCUUUAUAUUCUUAUGGGGCAACCUAUAUCCCUAUGGGGCGCCCCAUAUAUCUAUGGGGCACCCCACAUCCCUAUGGGGCGCCCUAUAUCCCCUAUGGGGUGCCGAUAUCCUUAUGGGGUGCCCCACGCAUCUAUGGGGCGCCCCACAUCCCAAUGGGGCACCCCAAAUCACAAUGGCGUCCUUUAUAUUCUUAUGGGGCAACCUAUAUCCCUAUGGGGCGCCCCAUAUAUCUAUGGGGCACCCCACAUCCCUAUGGGGCGCCCUAUAUCCCCUAUGGGGUGCCGAUAUCCUUAUGGGGUGCCCCACGCAUCUAUGGGGCGCCCCACAUCCCAAUGGGGCACCCCAAAUCACAAUGGCGUCCUUUAUAUUCUUAUGGGGCAACCUAUAUCCCUAUGGGGCGCCCCAUAUAUCUAUGGGGCACCCCACAUCCCUAUGGGGCGCCCUAUAUCCCCUAUGGGGUGCCGAUAUCCUUAUGGGGUGCCCCACGCAUCUAUGGGGCGCCCCACAUCCCAAUGGGGCACCCCAAAUCACAAUGGCGUCCUUUAUAUUCUUAUGGGGCAACCUAUAUCCCUAUGGGGCGCCCCAUAUAUCUAUGGGGCACCCCACAUCCCUAUGGGGCGCCCUAUAUCCCCUAUGGGGUGCCGAUAUCCUUAUGGGGUGCCCCACGCAUCUAUGGGGCGCCCCACAUCCCAAUGGGGCACCCCAAAUCACAAUGGCGUCCUUUAUAUUCUUAUGGGGCAACCUAUAUCCCUAUGGGGCGCCCCAUAUAUCUAUGGGGCACCCCACAUCCCUAUGGGGCGCCCUAUAUCCCCUAUGGGGUGCCGAUAUCCUUAUGGGGUGCCCCACGCAUCUAUGGGGCGCCCCACAUCCCAAUGGGGCACCCCAAAUCACAAUGGCGUCCUUUAUAUUCUUAUGGGGCAACCUAUAUCCCUAUGGGGCGCCCCAUAUAUCUAUGGGGCACCCCACAUCCCUAUGGGGCGCCCUAUAUCCCCUAUGGGGUGCCGAUAUCCUUAUGGGGUGCCCCACGCAUCUAUGGGGCGCCCCACAUCCCAAUGGGGCACCCCAAAUCACAAUGGCGUCCUUUAUAUUCUUAUGGGGCAAUCUAUAUCCCUAUGGGGCGCCCCACAUUUCUAUGGGGCACCCCACAUCCCUAUGGGGCGCCCUAUGUCUUCUAUGGGGUGUCCUAUAUCUUUAUGGGGUGCCCCACGCAUCUAUGGGGCGCCCCACAUCCCCAUGGGGCACCCCAAAUCCCAAUGGGGUGCUCUAUAUUCUUAUGGGGCAACCUAUAUCCCUACGGGGCGCCCCACACGUCUAUGGGGUGCCCCACAUCCCUAUGGGGUGCCCUAUAUCUCCUAUGGGGUGCCGAUAUCGUUAUGGGGUGCCCCACACAUCUAUGGGGCGCCCCACAUCCCCUUGGGCCACCCCAAAUCCCCAUGGGGUCCUUUAUCUUCUUAUGGGGCAACCUAUAUCCCUAUGGGGUGCCCCACACAUCUAUGGGGCACCCGAAAUCCCCAUGGGGUGCCCCAAAUCCCCACAGGGCACCCUAUAUUCUCUAUGGGGCACCCUAUAUCCUCAAUGGGGCACCCCACAUCCCCAUGGGGCACCCCAAAUCCCCAUGGGGGGCGCCCUAUACCCCUCUCGACACCCGCGUUUCCCUACGGGGCGUCCCAUAGGCGCUAUGGGGCACCCUAUAUUUCCACGGGCUGCCCCACGCAUCUAUGGGGCGCCCCACGUCCCCGUGGGGCACCCCAACUCCCCACGGGGGGCGCCCCACACCCUUUCCGCCGCCGCCGUUUCCCGACGGGGCGCCCCCGAACCUCGACGUCGUGGCCGCGGGGCGGCCGUGGGGCAGCCGUGGGGCGGCUAUGGGGCGGCU
ensembl:lncRNA